AUAUUGAGUUUGAUCCUGGCUCAGGAUGAAGGCUAGUAGUAAGCUUUAUACAUGCGAGUCGAAUGAUAAUAUAUCAUGGCGAACGGGUGAGAAUAAAAAAGGAAUCUACCUUUUAGUUAGGCGAAAAUACCUAAUAAGAUUUAAUUAUCGAAAAAAAAAAUUUGCUAAAAGACGAGCCUUUUUAAGAUUAGGUAGUUGGGGGAGUAAAAAUUUCUCAAGCCUACGAUCUUUAGUUGGUCUGAAAGGACGAUCAACCACACUGGGACUGAGACAAGGCCCAGGCUUCAGUAGAAGCCAGCAGUAGGGAAUAUUGGACAAUGAGCGAAAGCUUGAUCCAGCUAUACUACAUGAGUGAAAGACGACCAUUCGGUUGUAAAACUCUUUCAAAAGAGGAGAUAAUGACUGUCUCUUGAAAAGAAGCCCCGGCUAACCUCGUGCCAGCAGCCGCGGUAAUACGGGGGGGGCAAGUCUUAUCCGUCAGAACUCGGCGUAAAGGGUCCGUAGAUGGCAAAAACGUUCGAUUGGUUAAAAAGAAAAGCUCAACUUUUCUAGGGCCUUUCCUACCUUUUUGCUAGAGUUUAAGAGAGGAUAAUGGAAUUUUAGAAGAAGGGGUGAAAUCUGUAGAAUUCUAAAGGAACACCAAUGGCGAAGGCAAUUAUCUGGAUUAAAACUGACAUUGAGGGACGAAAGCAUAGGGAGCAAACAGGAUUCGGAACCCUGGUAGUCUAUGCCAUAAAAUAUGAAUGCUCGUAAAUAGGAUAUUAUCUUAUUUACCUAGUUAACACCUUAAGCAUUCCGCCUGAGGAGUAUACCCGCAAGAGUGGAACUCAAAGGAAUUGGCGGGGGUCUAUACAAGUGGUGGAGCAUGUGGUUUAAUGCGAUAAUCCGCGCAAAACCUUACCAACCCUAGACAGAAAAAACUAUUUUUUGAAAGUUU
rnacentral:rRNA from 1 species